UACGGGGGGGGCAAGCGUUGUUCGGAAUUACUGGGCGUAAAGGGCUCGUAGGUGGCCAACUAAGUCAUACGUGAAAUCCCUCGGCUUAACCGGGGAACGGCGUCUGAUACUGGAUGGCUUGAGUUUGGGAGAGGGAUGUGGAAUUCCUGGUGUAGCGGUGAAAUGCGCAGAUAUCAGGAAGAACACCUAUGGCGAAGGCAGCUCUCUGGGACGGUACUGACGCUGAGACGCGAAAGCGUGGGGAGCGAACAGG
rnacentral:rRNA from 1 species